UACGUAGGGUGCGAGCGUUAAUCGGAAUUACUGGGCGUAAAGGGUGUGUAGGUGGCGCGCUAAGUCGGGUGUGAAAUUUCGGAGCUUAACUCCGAAACUGCAUUCGAUACUGGCGUGCUUGAGGACUGGAGAGGAGACUGGAAUUCAUGGUGUAGCAGUGAAAUGCGUAGAGAUCAUGAGGAAGACCAGUGGCGAAGGCGGGUCUCUGGACAGUUCCUGACACUGAGACACGAAGGCCAGGGGAGCAAACGGG
rnacentral:rRNA from 1 species